AAAAUCAAUAAUGGCUUGGGCCUAUAGCUCAGUUGGUUAGAGCACACGCCUGAUAAGCGUGAGGUCGAUGGUUCGAGUCCAUUUAGGCCCACCAAAAUAUUUAUUUUAAAAAAACAAGCUCUUUGAAAAGUAGAUAAAUUAAGGUUAGAAGA
rnacentral:misc_RNA from 1 species